GUACGACUGUCGGCAACGGAUAUCUAGGCUCUCGCAUCGAUGAAGAACGUAGCAAAAUGCGAUACUUGGUGUGAAUUGCAGAAUCCCGUGAAUCAUUGAGUCUUUGAACGCAAGUUGCGCCCGAAGCCUUC
rnacentral:rRNA from 1 species